UUCAGUGGUCAGCAUGCGGUUUGAACUCAUACUCAGAGGAGGUCGUCGUGUGUUUAUUAGUAAAUGCGCCGUCGAAAUUACUGUUUUGUAUCUAUAUCGCUGUUUCAGGUAGUGGCGUCAUGUCACAUUUGAUAACCCAGAAAUCGCUAACUCGUAUAGAAAUGAGUUAUUUGCCACCAUGUGACUAGGCGACAUGGCGCUAGAACGAGUAGGCCGCACCGUAAAACAAAACCGGUAAGUUGUUAUUACAUUCUGUUGAUCCAGCAUCAGAAAUAUUGAAAGCGGGGUCUUGGUUUAUAGCAACUGGCACGGGAACAACGUGGAAGAAGCUCCUCAUACGAGCUGUGAGAAGACCAAGUGAACACGUGGGCAAAAGACUUGUGACUGCAGAUGGCGCAUGAAAGACUCACUCGUGUCUGUAUGUAUGGCUGCGAUGGGAAUGGACACCUUGAACUAUUAUAAGUACCUUGCUGUGCGUCCUGUAAAACGAACUUGAUUACAGAAUGGAAGAUGACGUCACUUAAUAUGUGGGGGUUGAACUGUGUCUUGGCUUUAUUUGAGCUCCUGUUGUAUUUUUUUGGCUGCGAGACCUAGCUCUGAUUGGUAGGUCAGCUACAGAACAAAAUUAAUGGUUCUCCCAGAAAUGUGAAUGUUCUCAUUCAUCCAGAUCAUAGUUAUCCAAAGGACUUGAAUCAAGUGCAAUUGGACUUGGUAUAUAUCCGUGAAGACGUUUCGCCUCUCAUCCAAGAGGCUUCCUCAGUUCGUGCCUUUCUGACUAGACGAAGCUAGUCUGACUGAGUCUCAUCACCAGCCAGUCAGAAAACAUUUCGUCGCUCAUCUAAGGAACUUCGUCAGUCUCAGUCAUCAGCCUGAGACUGAUGAAGUUCCUUAGAUGAGUGACAAAAUGUUUCUCCGCCUAAACUUUUGUGCCAGAUGAACUGAUUGAACUUUCUGGGAUUUCCUCACCUGAAUUAUUGAGCAUAUAUCAAAGACAAAAUGAAUGGUUAGUGCUGUAGUUGCAUAGUCUGAAAGCAUCAGCAGACUAAAGGAGCAUUGUCAGUCUUGUAGUGAGCUGUUUAGUUUUCAACUGCUGUUGAAAGAGCAAUGUUAAACUUACAACUUCUGAAAUAUUUUGUAUAAAUAAAAUGUUUUUGUAU